rnacentral:ribozyme from 14 species
CAAGCUGAGAGGGUUGGAGCGUCGGUGCUGCCUCAAGUAAUAAGCCAAGGGUGAGUGGCAUGCUGGCAGCUGCUGCAUGUACUA